CGUAGUAACAACGAACUGUGAGAAGUCAGCAGAAGCCAUAGUACUGAGUAAUCGGGAAGGGC
rnacentral:ncRNA from 1 species